rnacentral:rRNA from 1 species
UACGGAGGGGACUAGCGUUGUUCGGAAUUACUGGGCGUAAAGGGCGCGUAGGCGGCCGAUCAAGUCCGACGUGAAAUUCCUCGGCUCAACCGAGGGCCUGCGUCGGAUACUGCUCGGCUUGAGUCCCGGAGAGGGUAGUGGAAUUCCCAGUGUAGCGGUGAAAUGCGUAGAUACUGGGGAGGAACACCGGUGGCGAAGGCGGCUACCUGGACGGGUACUGACGCUGAGGCGCGAAAGCUAGGGGAGCAAACAGG